GGAGGGCAUGCGUGUCCGGUGACACGGCUGGGCUUCAAACCCAGUUGGGGGCGUUAGACGUUCCCAGGUAGGUUCGACUCCUGCUGCUUUCCGCCA
rnacentral:tRNA from 2 species